CCAGGGACUCGCGUCCCUGGCUAUUACAUACCGUCGCUUCGCGACU
rnacentral:sRNA from 1 species